rnacentral:rRNA from 1 species
CAGCCGCCACGGGAACACGAAGGGGGCUAGCGUUGUUCGGAAUUACUGGGCGUAAAGCGCACGUAGGCGGAUAUUUAAGUCGGGGGUGAAAUCCCAGGGCUCAACUCUGGAACUGCCUUUGAUACUGGGUAUCUUGAGUAUGGAAGAGGUGAGUGGAAUUCCGAGUGUAGAGGUGAAAUUCGUAGAUAUUCGGAGGAACACCAGUGGCGAAGGCGGCUCACUGGUCCAUUACUGACGCUGAGGUGCGAAAGCGUGGGGAGCAAACAGGUUUAGAUACCCCAGUAGUCCCUGUCUCUUAUAC